UUAUUUUGGAGUUUGGGGAGUUAAUUAGGAUUUAAUAAAAAUUAAGGGAGUUUAAUGAAAUAAAGGAGGAGUUAUAGUUUUGGGAGUUAGGAAAAGAAAGAGUCAGAAUCAGUUUUUACGUGAAACAAGUUUUGGAGAGGAAAACCAAGAACAAGAGAGAAGAGCCUAGGAACCGAUUUUGCUGUGCAAUCUUUCUGCAAAUCUAAGGUGAGGGUGAGACUAUCUCUCAAUAAUCAUAGUAUAUAAUUUCUGAAAAUUGUUUUAACAUGAAUUGUUCUUGAGAUAAAAAUUGGGAAUUAGGGUUCUAUACUGAUUUUGAAGGGAAAGUGUAGGAAUCAUGUUAAUGUGUUUAGUUUUCGUAUUCAGAAUGAUUUCUUGAUCUAUAAUGUUGUUGUGAUCAGAAUUUUGAAUGAAAUUAGAAUUUGUUGGAUAAAUUGGAGAAGUUUUGUAUGAUUGCUAGAAUGAUCUGAAUUGUUGUUGUUGAUGCCUGUUUUGUGUUCCUUUAGAUGUCUAGUUGUGUAAUGAACCUGUAAACAUCUGUUGGAAAACGUUUUGGGUGAUCAGGGGAUUAAAAUUAGGUUUUUGGAGUGAGAAGAGGUUGAACCCGUAGAUUUUUGCACUGCCCAGAUGAAUGGUCGCUUAAGCGAACGACCCGUCGCUUAAGCGAGCAUUCAAGCAAGCUGCCCAGAAUUCGAUUUUGUCAGUUCGCUUAAGUGAACAGUGAGCGAGCCUGUAAGCGAAAAAUCAUUUUCAUUCUUCCAGAAGUUCGCUCAAGCGAACCGUUAGCGAGCGGAACCCAAACUUUCUGUGAGCCGGUCGCUUAAGCGAAGAUGACCUUAGUCAGCCACUUUUUGAACCUUGCCUCGUGCACUAGGGGAUCCUUUUGAGCAUUUUUAAAUGUUCCUUUCAACUUGUAAGACCAUUAUAUAUACCCUGAAUCCUACUGAACACAUUGUUAAUCGAGUUGGUUUAAUUUAAUGAAAUUUCGGAUUGGAGUUGGAGUGAGUAUGAAACCAAGCGAAAAUAUAUUAUGUUGAAUGAACUUGAUGUAUUAGUAUGAUUGCUAUUAAUUAUACAGUUUUCUGAUGUUGGAUUGGUUGUGAUGAAGUUGUCGAAUUAUGAAGUCGUAUGUCAUAUAUACACAUAUGCAUUGUCGAGUUGUAUGUAGAUAUACACAAGUGGAGUCGGUUGCAUAAGCAUAAAAGCGGGAGGGUUUCGGCCCUGGAACGCCUUGUCGUUUAAAGCGGUGGAACACUUUGUUGUUCAAAGCGGUGUUUAGCGGUGAUGACUUAUGUCCUGAAAAGAAUGCUUUAACCAUUCGAAUAGCGGUGAGGGCUCCGGCCCUGAAUAUGGUACCACAUGCAUAUUGCAUUUGUCGAGGAGUCUUAGUAAUGUUGUCAUGCCAUUACAUGAGUCGUUGUUGUUGAUUGUAUUGUUGUAUUAUUGAUGAUGUUGUUGAUUAUGAAAUAUUUAUGCAUAUUGAAUAAUCAUUGAUAUGUUGGGGUGUAAGAUUCAAUUGAUGUUAUUAUAUAUUAUUAUUAUUGUUUGUGAAUCUCACCCCUUCUGCUUGAAAAUGUUGUCCUUCCUAUGGGUAACUUGCAGGUGAUUCUGAGUAGUAGGUGGUGGCUCAAAGUGUCUAGGGCUCUGAUACGUGGGAUGAGAUU
rnacentral:lncRNA from 1 species